UACGGGGGGGGCAAGCGUUGUUCGGAAUUACUGGGCGUAAAGGGCUCGUAGGCGGCCAACUAAGUCAGACGUGAAAUCCCUCGGCUUAACCGGGGAACUGCGUCUGAUACUGGAUGGCUUGAGGUUGGGAGAGGGAUGCGGAAUUCCAGGUGUAGCGGUGAAAUGCGUAGAUAUCUGGAGGAACACCGGUGGCGAAGGCGGCAUCCUGGACCAAUUCUGACGCUGAGGCGCGAAAGCUAGGGGAGCGAACGGG
rnacentral:rRNA from 1 species